AAACCUGGAUGAUUCACUUGUAAAAGCCAAAGCCAGUUAUCAGCGGUUCGUAAAAGGGAAUUACUUUUUUGAGAUUUAUGGACUUCAUCAGGAUUCCAGAAUGAAACUUUAGCAAGUCCAAAUGUACGCAAUGGUAUCUUUAAGGACAUUUUAGCACCAUGAAACUCCCAAGCAUGAAGCCACGGAACCCAUCCAUGCU
rnacentral:lncRNA from 1 species